UCAGACCAGGCAGACGAGAGCUGCGGCCACACCGGUGGGUCACCAUCAAAACAGGGCGCGUCUGGCAGCUGCUCCUGGUUGCCCGGUGGCUGUCAUUGCCUGCUUGCUGUUGGCAGCUGGCACCAUGGAAACCGCGGAACCGCCGACGCCCACCGGCGUGGACAAGGCCACAAUCUUGGAAAGCACAGAGAAGGUGGUUAGAGAGCUGAUAACCUCCCCCAGACCAGACGUGGGCAUCUCCAAUCUGUGUCCAUGCCCUGCUAUUGUGGCCAUGCUUCCAACUGGUGUGGCUACAGAAGUCUUGCCGGUGGAGGCUCCAGAUGUGCGCGCCGUAACGCCACCGCCGCCCACCUCUGCGCUCUGCGCCACGGUCGCUUUGGUGGCUUCGGUCCCCACGGGCAUUGCUUUGGCAGACGAAGACCCGGAGACCGCACCAGCAGAACCGGUAGCCGUCCCGCACCCGCCCACUGCCACUUCCGCGCUCUGCACCACAGCGGCCAUCGUGGCCUUGGCGCCGACAGCUGUACACGCCGAGGCUUUGGACGCGGCUGCUGUCUCCGAGGCCCCGGAUACCCUCGCGUCGCGUUCGACUCCUUACCCCAAUGGUGAUGGGGAUGAUAGGCUCGCCACAGAGGCCUCACCGUCAGCGGUGGCUCGUCAGGUGCCGCCGGCGGAGGGUUCUGCACGCCGCUUCUUGACAUGCCAACUGCUCUGAAACUUCAGCAUCUGAUUUCUGACAGCCAUUACCUGAACUGAGAUGCGUUGCGAGCGAUUUUUAAUCAUGUUUUUACUAUUGGGAAGUCCUACGUCAUCGAUUUGGUAAGCACUUUGAUAUUGAAACCCUCUUGGGAGUGUUAAAUAAAUGUAUUGAUUCAUAAAUUAAACUCGAAGGAACAAUUGUCCAUGUCAAGAAGGCAUGAAUGAACGAUCAUAAACAUGUAUAUGCUUCCAUGUUCUCAGAACCGUCGCUGCGGUAGGAGACGUGUCCAGCACAUUUUUUAUGAAGUCUAUCAUGGUGAGUGGCGUUAUGUAGAACAUGCUGCAUCGCCAGCAAGAGCGAUGAGCAACGCGUGGAGUCUUACACUUUGUAUGGUUGUGGAACGAAUCGUUAUACUGUGUAAUCGAAUGACUUCAUUUUCUGGCAGCUUGAAAAACCAACAGCAUAUUGCCCAAUGAUGUCAUACACCCGAUUAACUGAAGAUCAGUAACAGCUACAUGCAGCCUCUAUCAAUAAUAAGAUAGUUUUUCAGAACAGUGAUACCAUUCAAUAAAAGAAUGGCGAACCGAAAAAUCGUGUCAGACCGAUUCUCUUUCCGUCGGUUGACGCUCAAAUGCUUGGUUCUUUGUCGGAUAAACAAAUUUUGUUGCCAGAUUGUCAUGUCCUGUCCUUUGUCAAUGUUAUGCUAAUAGCUCAGAACUCAACAGUGACUUCUGAAUUUUAUGUUUGUGGCUUUAUGAUUAUAGGAAGGGUUCCCCAAUUACAUGGGGUAUUGAACUGAAAUAGUCAUCUUGAAGAGCUUUCGGUGCUGUUUACAAUUAUGCCCUUUGAGACCUAAGCCCCUCUUAGCUAUACGCCCGCGAAAAUGGGGGCAAGUAUAUCGGGGAGAGCAUUUCAAAAUCUCCGUGGCCUUCAUGACUUCAUAAAAACGUCAUUCAAAUCCUGCUAUUCCUUGAGCCAUGCGGCGAUCAAUGCCAAUAAAAAUACAGAUGUAAUUGUCGAGGCGAGCGCAAUCACAUAUCUGGUGUGCAUAAGCACGAUUUCCAGAGAUAACGGCCGUCAAUGGCUCUCAAUCAAGGCUGUGCAGGGCGCGAUGAGGUAGUCAGACCAUGUCGGCUUGAGGAGCAUGUUUACUAAGCAGAGCAUUGUACUGCCUAGAGCAGCCUUGUCCACUUCAAAAUUCACAAAUACUUAUAAGUGAGCUUGUUUCAUCAUAUCCCAUGCUUGAUUUAAUAUCUUCAAAUGUGAAAUAUUUGUUUGAAGUAUGCGUUUAGAAAACAUUGAAAGCUGACAAGGUUCAGGGAAACGAUUAUCAUAAUGUCCGCAUCAAUUCAGAUCAGUGUAGCAUUCAGAGCCGCUGCCUUCCGACUCAUCCGCUAGUGGAGGGGUGGGUUCCAGUCGCUUUAGGCGCUUGCUAUUAUUUGCCCCCUGACCGGAAUGAACUUAGACUGAUGGCAGCUGUGGGGCUAUGUAAAUAAGCAGAACGCUAAGUUCCUCGGCGAACAAUAAAAAACGUAGACGACAGCGGCCACUCAGUUCGAGGAAACUAGGUAGGCAAAAGGAGAGGGCAUUCACAACAUCAAUAGACCGUGUGCUAGGCACAUGAUGUUGAAUACACAGUGUCCGAUACAACUUCGUUGAACUAAGUCCGUCAUUGCAACAAAAAAGUUAGCUGCGUUGCAGAGGCGUCAGUAAGACGUCUUUGAAGUACGGAUGGCAGGAUUUUAAAGCACCGGCGUGUUAUAGGUUGUAUAUUGAAAGAUGAUACCAGAAAAGGAGAUGGGCCAAGGUACUGUUUGGCCCGGCUGAUUCCAAUGCUUUUACGUGAAAAGAAUGCUACAGGCAUCACAACUUUUGUGCUUGGUAAAUGUGCUCUUCAGGCGCCGCUGUUUGGGUACGUCAUCGCAUCUUGCGUUAUAUUGUUUUAGAGUCAACUGAAAGCCGAAUCUGAAAAUUGUACUUGCAAACGCUAGAUAUGGGGUACUGGACAAUUACAUUUUGGUUGGCCUUGGUCGCUGCAUGGUCAAUGGAAUGACAGGAUUUACGUGUCGUUAUUAUGGCGUCAAGGAUACCUGGGUUACGCCGAAAGAGCCUCUCCCGAAAUAUUUUGCUCACCUUUGUUGGCGUGUAGCUCAAAAGCUAGAGGGUUUAGGCCUUAAAGAGAGCAGGGCUGUAAACUGCACCGAAUGAUCUACAAUAUGGCUAGUUCAGUUCAAAACCGCAUAAAAUGUGUAACAUCCAAUUUAAGAGCAUAUCCUGUCUUUGCAUAUUUGAAUCCUUCUUAUUUUUGGUUGACUGUUGCUGUGUUUAGAAAACAAAUCGGUUUUCAGGAUCUAGCUACCAAUCUACAAGUGAAGCAUGCUCAAACCAAGUGUUUUCUGAUAUCUGACAUUAUGACAGCAUCUGGCGAAUGCUGGGAGCACAGAUGGUGCCCCAUGUUGGUGAUAAUCCAAGAACUUGAUUGUUUUGUAUUACUAUUAUUUCCUGUUGUACGCCGUUCCCCUUCUCGUUGAAACAUUCCGUUGGCUGCUAUUUUUACAUCACUUCGCCAGGGCGUCCGGUGUGACGUAAACCAAAAACGGUUGCAAUUAGCGUUAUAUUAGCUUAUGUAAGAUUAUGCGGGCUGCCCCAUGUUUAUCGUCUCAGUGGCAUCACAUGUCAGGACUGCACUCAGCAUCAAUAUUGUUUGAGGCAGUUUUGGGGUUAAUGGCAUUACCGUUCUUCACUCGGUGCUUCUGCUGGUUCAAAGAUAUGUUCAACUUCAUCGGCACCAUAUGGUUUUGUGGGAUUGUAGCCGACCGGUGAAUCACUACGUUAUGGCCUACUUUAGAAUAUUUAUGUACGAUGUAGUUAUUAUGCCAGCAAUGUUUACAAUGUAUGCAUUUAAAAAUGAGUAAGUAGGAAAGGAGAAAAUCCACAAUCCCGUAGAUGACUUGAUGCUGGAAGCUUGUUGUUCGCUUUGACUUGUGUCAGAUGAUGCAAAUAAAAUCAUUGGAAAGCGGUU